rnacentral:RNase_P_RNA from 1 species
AAGGCGGAAGGAUCCACUACAUGAUGUUAUUAUGAGGAAAGUCCGGGCUGCAUAGGGAGGCGUGCCACCUAACGGGUGGCUUCUGAGAGGAAGGGAAAGUGCUACAGAGAAUAACCGCCAUAUUAUAUGGUAAGGGUGAAAAGGUGGGGUAAGAGCCCAC